rnacentral:misc_RNA from 1 species
GAUGAAGAACGUAGCGAAAUGCGAAAAGUAGUGUGAAUUGCAGAAUUCAGUGAAUCAUCGAAUCUUUGAACGCACAUUGCGCCCCUCGGUAUUCCGUGGGGCACGCCUGUUCGAGCGUCAUUUACACCCUCAAGCGCAGCUUGGUGUUGGGCGUCUGUCCCGCUCUCCGUAGCGCGGACUCGCCUCAAAGUCAUUGGCGGCGGUCGUGCCGGCUCCUCGCGCAGCACAUUUGCGCUUCUCGGAGGCCCGGCGGAUCGGCAUCCAGCAAGCUACUUUUUAUGACUUGACCUCGGAUCAGGUGAGGAUACCCGCUGAACUUAAGCAUAUCAAUAAGCGGAGGA